AAAUAGGAAGCUAGAAAGCAAUUAACUUCGACCUAAUAAUUGAGUAUAAAAAUUACUCCCUAUUUA
rnacentral:tRNA from 1 species